rnacentral:rRNA from 1 species
AAAACUCACCAGGUCCGGAUACAUGUAUGAAGGACAAGCCGACAGACUUUUCUUAAUUAUGUAAGUGGUGGUGCAUGGCCGUUCUUAGUUCGUGGAUUGAUUUGUCUGGUUUAUUCCGAUAACGAGCGAGACUCUGACGCUCUAAAUAGGGGUCAUAGCCAAGAAGCCGGGUCACGAAGGCCAAGACCGGAAGCGGGUAACCGCACUACGGUCUAGUCUUUGCCGGUUACUAGCUACGGCUUUGCCUUCAUAGGCACGCAAGCUUCUUAGACGGAUUGAGGCCGAUAAGGUCUCUGAAAUGGGUUAAUAACAGGUCAGUCAUGCCCUUAGAUGUUCCGGGCCGCACGCGCGUUACAAUGGGAGAUAUAGCAAGCAUCCGGCAAUUCUGAGCCGUAAAAAAGCGAGGAUUACCAAUGGGUUACCCCGAUCCCUAAGGGGAAUGGCAAACAUUAGUCUCUUCCCAUGACUGGGAUAGUCUAUUGUAAUUAUCGGUCUUAAACGAGG